rnacentral:rRNA from 1 species
GACGAACGCUGGCGGCGUGCUUAACACAUGCAAGUCGAACGGAAAGGCCCUGCUUUUGUGGGGUGCUCGAUUGGCGAACGGGUGAGUAACACGUGAGUAACCUGCCCUUGACUUUGUGAUAACUUCAGGAAACUGCGGCUAAUACCGCAUAUGAUCUCCUGCUGCAUGGUGGGGGUUGGAAAGUGUCGGCGGUUGGGGAUGGACUCGCGGCUUAUCAGCUUGUUUGUGGGGUAGGGGCUUACCAAGGCUUAGAAGGGUAGGCGGCCUGAGAGGGUGACCGGCGACAUUGGGACUAAGAGACGGCGCAGACGCGAACGGGAGGCAGUAGUGGAGAACAUUGCAGAGUGGGCGGAAGCCAGUUGCAGAGGCGCUGGGUGCGGGAUGCCGGCUUUCGGGUUGUAAACCGAUUUCGCAGGAGACGAAGAGUGAGUGACGGUAAUGGGUCAAGAAGCACCGGCUAACUACGUG